rnacentral:rRNA from 1 species
GUAACUGCGAGUGAAGCGGGAAAAGCUCAAAUUUAAAAUCUGGCAGUCUUUGGCUGUCCGAGUUGUAAUCUAGAGAAGUAUUAUCCGCGCUGGACCGUGUACAAGUCUCCUGGAAUGGGGCGUCAUAGAGGGUGAGAAUCCCGUCUUUGACACGGACUGCCAGGGCUUUGUGAUGUGCUCUCAAAGAGUCGAGUUGUUUGGGAAUGCAGCUCAAAAUGGGUGGUAAAUUCCAUCUAAAGCUAAAUAUUGGCGAGAGACCGAUAGCGAACAAGUACCGUGAGGGAAAGAUGAAAAGAACUUUGGAAAGAGAGUUAAACAGUACGUGAAAUUGCUGAAAGGGAAACGCUUGAAGUCAGUCGCGUUGGCCAGGGAUCAACCUUGCUUUUUUGCUUGGCUUACUUUCUGGUCGAUGGGUCAGCAUCAAUUUUGACUGGUGGAAAAAGUUCAAGGGAAUGUGGCAUCUUCGGAUGUGUUAUAGCCUUUGUUCGCAUACAUUGGUUGGGAUUGAGGAACUCAGCACGCCGCAAGGCCGGGUUUUUAACCACGUACGUGCUUAGGAUGCUGGCAUAAUGGCUUUAAUCGACCCGUCUUGAAACACGGACCAAGGAGUCUAACAUGCCUGCGAGUGUUUGGGUGAAAAACCCGAGCGCGUAAUGAAAGUGAAAGUUGAGAUCCCUGUCGUGGGGAGCAUUGACGCCCGGAUCUGACCUUUUGUGACGAUUCUGCGGUAGAGCAUGUAUGUUGGGACCCGAAAGAUGGUGAACUAUGCCUGAAUAGGGUGAAGCCAGAGGAAACUCUGGUGGAGGCUCGUAGCGAUUCUGACGUGCAAAUCGAUCGUCAAAUUUGGGUAUAGGGGCGAAAGACUAAUCGACAUCUAGUAGCUGGUC